rnacentral:lncRNA from 1 species
GCGGCCGAGCGUCUGCUGGAGCCCGCUGACGGGUCCACGCCGGCGGUGGCAGCCAUUAAAUUCGGCAGCCCUGCCGUCACCGCGGCCUUGGGUGUAAAGGAGUAUUACUGCCGGCUGGCGGAGAGCCUCCAGUGCGUCGUGGCUGCCGCCGCUGUGGUUUGUGGUGGUGAUGCAGAGCAGCGGGAUGUGAGAGGAGCUGGGAGGUCGGUGGUCAGAGACUGGCCGGCGACGAAGGACGCUGGUGACAUGAAGACGCUGCUCCCGCGUCGUCCUUCAAAUUUUCCCAGGAUGCAGUUCCCACAUCUUCACUGCCAAGAGAAAAGUCGCCGUAAAUGAUACGAGUGGUUCUUCAUCGGCCAUCAGCUCCUAAAUCAGAGGUCUCUGAGCUACAAAAGGAGUUUGCUGAGCUCGAACAGCGCAACGAGGAGCUGGAGGACGAGGCUGAAAUGAAGAGGGCUGCGCACAUGGAAGAGGUAGCGGAGUUGGAGUACACCAUAAAUGAGCUGCAGCACCGGGACUCCAGCUUCCGAACCCAAAUGAAGGAGCAGUGUGACGACUACAGGGUGCUGCUCAGUGAGAAGAUGGCCAGAGACAUGGAGAUCGCAGCCUACAGGAGCCUGCUGGAGGAGGAGGAGGCGAGGCUGUGCGACCUGUGACUCGAGGCCCGGCGGCUCCGGGAGCGUCUGGCGUGCGGCCGAACGCUCCCACGCUCACGCGGAUUAGAAAGCAGACAGAGGAGAAACGCAGAACCCAGAUCAGCAGUAGGGUGAAGCAUAAGGUACCGACGCAGCGGGUUGGAGCGCACGCAAACUUAUCACCACAGAUUAAUGCCGUCUGGAGGCCUAAGUCGAGUCAUUGAUAAGCGGCCGCCGGCAGAUGACCCUGAGGCUCAGAGAAGGAUGGAGCUGUCUGAGACUGAUUUGGGGGGGGGUGAUGAGAGAAAAACUGUUUGGUGUCUGGCUGGGACGUUGCCUUAAGUGGGUUCGAUUUUCACCCACUCACUUCACUGUACAAGUCUAACGCACACAGAUACGAACACGCACCAAAGCGGAACCAGCGCCGCUGCCCCUCAUCCAUCACUCAAACCGGUCACCAGCUCUUAACCCGUGACCCCCCCAAUGUUAACACACAUAUUGACGGCGCUCGCUCCACCAAGCGCAGGCGCGCCGCCGCACAGUCACGCAUCCCCGUGGCUUCUACGCGCUGCCGUGUUUGCUUUUCAAAUGGCUCGUGAGCGAGCACCUGGAUCUACAAGAGCAGCGCGAGCGCUUCAUUAGUCUCCCUCCAAAAGCAGUGUCUCAAUUUGCUGUAUUUUUGUUGUUGUUUCAGAAAAAAAAACAACAUUUGGCGAAACAUUCCUCCGUAAUCUUUUCCUGAUUUUCUACAAGCUGUCUGUGAUAAAUCAUCUUUGCGUCCUGCCUCUGCACCAGCGGCACAAUUGGCUUAAGGUUGAAUGAAAUAAAAGUAGCUGCUUUAAACUGUGGGUGUUUUCU